CACCCUCAGUUUCACCCUCCCUUAACUAAAGGACAAACUUUCUUCCCACUUAGAUUUCUUUCUUCCACUGAAGGUAGGUUGGGGAGAUAAAAAGUGGAUAAAAAUAGAUGUUAUUUCCUAGUUGACUGGGAAACUUUGUUUUGUUUUGUUUUAAGAAAAAAAUGGGAUCCAGUACAGGUUGACAAACAAACUUAUGAUUCCCCUGAAAUCCUCUGAAUGCAUCCCUAAUGUCUGGAGAACAAAUCCAGGGACUACUUGGUGAAGAUCUUGCUUCAUAAGGAGUCUCAAACACAAGUGGAAAAGAUUUCCAAAAACCAGAAUGGAAGGGACAAUCCUAGCCCCUUGGGCUAUCACUUUGGUGAUCGUUGGGGCUGUCCUGAUAAUGACCUCAUUGAUGAUCCUCCCUCCUGUGGCCCUCCUCAUCUGGAGAAUUCACCAGAUGCCAGAGAUCUCAUUGGUAGGGAUCAUAUAGAUCCAAGCCCUCUCCAGACCUCUGCUGCUUCCAAUUUCUUCUUUCUUAGAUGUCAUUACUAAGAUAAAAAUGUCUUGGGCCAUUUAUGAAAUUCAGAUAACCUUUACCUUCAUGUCUCAAACUUUCAAUGGCUCUUCUGUGUUAGACAACUGCUUCCCCUUCAAAGAAUCACAGAAUUUAAAAGCUAGAAGCAACCAAACUCUCCAUAGUACAUAUGAAGAAACUGAAGCCCAGAAGAGGGAAAUGAUCUGCUUCAAAGCCACAUAGCUAGUAAAUGGGAGAAAAGACUCAAACCCAGAUCUAACUAUAGGUCAGAGUAUUAGCUCUUUUGUUUCUUUUGCAUAUGUGUCCAAUUGGGGCCAUACUUUACUGUGUCCUUCUAGGAUCUUGGUGAAGUGGCCUCUUGUUACUACACAAAAUGUUCUGACUGCAUGCCAGCAGAUAGAGAACUAAUGGACAAAAAAUUUCAUCUAUGGCAUUUCAACCUCAAUGUGGCUCUUUGAAGUAGUGAAAUCACUUGGUAGAGUGACAUUGCAGAAUCACAAAAAACAAUACCUUGAAAGGACUAGAAAUAUUCUAGUUCAAUCCUCUCAUUUUACAGCAAAGAAAGCAGAAAAUUCCUAGAGAAGUUAUUUGAUUGGCCCAUGAUCACAGGAAGUAAAGAACAGAGGCAAGAUGUGAAAUCUAACUCUAAAUCCAGCAGAAUGCCUUGUAAGAAUCAGCAUAAUAUCAAUUCUUGAGACACUCUUGUUUUAUUGUAUGUAAUAAGGAUAAGCUGGAAGCAUUCUCACUAAGAUCAGGGGUGAAACAAGGAUGCCCAUUAUCACCAUUAUUAUUCACCAAAAUUAUUCAAUUUUUGUCCAAUUAGUUCCCUAAGCCUGGUGUGCAGUCAGAGCAUUUUGUGUAGUAACAAAAGGCCACUUCACCAAUUGUACUAGAAAGAACUAGCUUUAAUAAUGAGAAGAAAAAGAAAUUGAAAGAACUAGAAUAAGCAAUAAAGAAAUAAAACUAUCACUCUUUGUAGAUGAUAUGAUAGUUAGAAAAUCCUUGAGAACAACUAAAAAACUGGUUGAAACAGUUAACAACUAGCAAAGUUGCAGGAUAUAAAAUAAACCCAUAAUCAUCUGCCUUUCUAUAUAUUGACAACAAAGUUCUGCAGCAUGAGAUAGAGAAAUUCCAUUAAAAAAAAAAA